GACGAACGCUGGCGGCGUGCCUAAUACAUGCAAGUAGAACGCAGUUGCGAACGGGUGAGUAACGCGUAGGUAACUGCCUAAUAGCGGGGGAUACCUAUUGGAAACGAUAGCUAAUAUCGCAUACUGUGAGAUGGACCUUCGUUGUAUUAGCUAGUUGGUGCAGCAAAGGCUCACCAAGGCGACGAUACAUAGCCGACCGGAGAGGGGGAUCGGCCAACAUGGGUGUGAGACACGGCCCAGACUCCUGCGGGAGGCAGCAGGAGGGAAUCUUCGGCAAUGGACGGAAGUCUGACCGAGCAACGCCGCGGGAGUGAAGAAGGGUUGCGGAUCGGAAAGCUCUGUUGGGAGAGGAGCGGUAACUAAACAGAAAGGGACGGCUAACUACGUGUCAGCAGCCGCGGUAAUUC
rnacentral:rRNA from 1 species